rnacentral:rRNA from 1 species
UACAGAGGUGCCCAGAGCGUUUGUUUCGGAUUCACUAGGGGCGUAAAGGGGUGCGUAGGUGUGAGGGUAAGUACGGAUGUGAAAUCUCCAACUCAACUUGGGAAAUGGCAUUGGAAACUACCUUGCUGGAGGUUUGGAGGGGGGGACUGGAAUUCUCGUGUAGGCAGUGAAAUGCGUAGAGAUGCGGAGGGAAACACCCGAU